rnacentral:rRNA from 1 species
CCUACGGGAGGCAGCAGUGAGGAAUAUUGGUCAAUGGGAGAGAUCCUGAACCAGCCAAGCCGCGUGAGGGAAGACGGCCCUAUGGGUUGUAAACCUCUUUUGUCGGAGAACAAAACCCGGGACGUGUCCCGGACUGCGUGUAUCCGAAGAAAAAGCAUCGGCUAACUCCGUGCCAGCAGCCGCGGUAAUACGGAGGAUGCGAGCGUUAUCCGGAUUUAUUGGGUUUAAAGGGUGCGUAGGCGGUCCGUUAAGUCAGCGGUAAAAUGGCGGGGCUCAACCCCGUCGAGCCGUUGAAACUGGUAGACUUGAGUUGGCGAGAAGUACGCGGAAUGCGCGGUGUAGCGGUGAAAUGCAUAGAUAUCGCGCAGAACUCCGAUUGCGAAGGCAGCGUACCGGCGCCAGACUGACGCUGAGGCACGAAAGCGUGGGGAUCGAACAGGAUUAGAUACCCCAGUAGUC